GCGGAGGAAAAGAAACCAACAGGGAUUGCCCUAGUAACGGCGAGUGAAGCGGCAACAGCUCAAAUUUGAAAUCUGGCGCAAGCCCGAGUUGUAAUUUGUAGAGGAUGCUUCUGGGCAGCGGCCGGUCUAAGUUCCUUGGAACAGGACGUCAUAGAGGGUGAGAAUCCCGUAUGUGACUGGCGCGCACCCUCCACGUAGCUCCUUCGACGAGUCGAGUUGUUUGGGAAUGCAGCUCUAAAUGGGAGGUAAAUUUCUUCUAAAGCUAAAUACCGGCCAGAGACCGAUAGCGCACAAGUAGAGUGAUCGAAAGAUGAAAAGCACUUUGGAAAGAGAGUUAAAAAGCACGUGAAAUUGUUGAAAGGGAAGCGCCUACAACCAGACUUCGCGGCAGUGUUCCGCCGGUCUUCUGACCGGUCCACUCUCUGUCGCGAGGCCAUCAUCGUCUGGGCCCGUCGGAUAAGACCUUGGGAAUGUAGCUCACCUUCGGGGGAGUGUUAUAGCCCAUGGUGAUGCGACGCGGCCCGGGCGAGGUCCGCGCUUCGGCAAGGAUGAUGGCGUAAUGGUUGUCGGCGGCCCGUCUUGAAACACGGACCAAGGAGUCUAACAUCUAUGCGAGUGUUCGGGUGUCAAACCCCUACGCGUAAUGAAAGUGAACGGAGGUGGGAACCGCAAGGUGCACCAUCGACCGAUCCUGAUGUCCUCGGAUGGAUUUGAGUAAGAGCAUAGCUGUUGGGACCCGAAAGAUGGUGAACUAUGCCUGAAUAGGGUGAAGCCAGAGGAAACUCUGGUGGAGGCUCGCAGCGGUUCUGACGUGCAAAUCGAUCGUCAAAUUUGGGUAUAGGGGCGAAAGACUAAUCGAACCAU
rnacentral:rRNA from 1 species